rnacentral:tRNA from 1 species
CGCGGGAUGGAGCAAUUGGUAGCUCGUCGGGCUCAUAACCCGAAGGUUCUAGGUUCGAGUCCUAGUCCCGCUA